rnacentral:rRNA from 1 species
AGACGAGAAGACCCUAUGGAGCUUUAGACACCAGGCAGAUCACGUCAAACAACCUUGGAUUAACAAGUAAAAACGCAGUGACCCCUAGCCCAUAUGUCUUUGGUUGGGGCGACCGCGGGGGGAAAAUUAGGCCCCCCAUGUGGACUGGGGGGCACUGCCCUCACAGCCAAGAGCUACAACUCUAAGCACCAGAAUAUCUGACCAAAAAUGAUCCGGCAAACGCCGAUCAACGGACCGAGUUACCCUAGGGAUAACAGCG